rfam:Hordeum vulgare subsp. vulgare, WGS project CAJW01000000 data, contig: morex_contig_41677
UAUGUACUCCCUCCGUCCCAAAAUAAGUGACUCCAAAAUCACUCAGUUUUGUACUAACUUUAGUAUAAAAUAGAGUCAUUUUUGAGUCACUUAUUUUGGGACGGAGGGAGUAUACG